CUCUUUGUUCAUACCUCCACCCAGCCCCUCCGUCCUGGGCUAUCUGCCUGUCCAGGUCAGACGGGGAGGGGAGGGGAGGGGUCGGCUCAGCCCCCCAGGGAGCGGGGGCUCCCACCUCCUCUGCUCCCUCCCCUCCCCCUGUUAAAGUGCAAUCCUGUAACUAACACGUGUCAGAUGAGCUCAAUUUGGUAAUUCUGGGCACCUGCAGUGCUGAGUGCCCGAGGGCCCAUCCUGCACGGGGAGGGGCGGGCUUGGUGCGGCUGGCCCUGCCCACCCUCAGCCUGUGGUCAAGACUUUGCGACCAGGCUUGCGGGAUGCGCCAGAAGCUACUGUAUCCUCCCCAUGUUCAUGUUCCUAAGAAACCACUCUCAGAUUGAGGGCUGAAAGGAAGGGGCAGAAGAGAAGAGAGCAGACGUCAGGGGAAGACUCAGGAGAAAGGAGACGGGCUGAUGUGACGUGGAUUCCCGUGAGCUCGAGCUUUAGCUUGGGUCCGAUUCUGGAGGCCCGAGAUGGAAUUCAAACCAAGUUGCCGGUGGAUGGGACCAGGGACUGAUGCCGUCCUACAGGCAUCCCCGGGACCAGGGCACAGAACGCGGGGCUGCGAUAUUGGCUCACGAUGAGCCGUGGCCUCUGAGGACGGCGCCGCACCAGCCCCCCGGGCCCCCGCCUCCAAAGGCUUUGCUAAAUGUACUCCUCAGAGGGUCACCCUUCCUGCCGUGACGUCCUUGCACCAUCAGGUACUGUCUGGAUCAUUUUUGCCGUAUCUACGUACCACGUGCUGUAGUCUGCUGCCUACUCCAUCCUUUUUCCUUAAGUGACCUCACGUUGUUACUUCGGUAAAUUAGUUUAUAAGGAAAUGACCUCACGUUGUUACUUCGGUAAAUUAGUUUAUAAGGAAA